GAGGCACUACGGUGCUGAAGCAACAAAUGCCCUGCUUCCAGGAAAAGCCUCUAAGCAUCAGGUAACAUCAAAUCGUACCCCAAACCGACACAGGUGGUCAGGUAGAGAAUACCAAGGCGCUUGAGAGAACUCGGGUGAAGGAACUAGGCAAAAUGGUGCCGUAACUUCGGGAGAAGGCACGCUGACACGUAGGUGAAGUGAUUUACUCACGGAGCUGAAGUCAGUCGAAGAUACCAGCUGGCUGCAACUGUUUAUUAAAAACACAGCACUGUGCAAACACGAAAGUGGACGUAUACGGUGUGACGCCUGCCCGGUGCCGGAAGGUUAAUUGAUGGGGUCAGCGCAAGCGAAGCUCCUGAUCGAAGCCCCGGUAAACGGCGGCCGUAACUAUAACGGUCCUAAGGUAGCGAAAUUCCUUGUCGGGUAAGUUCCGACCUGCACGAAUGGCGUAAUGAUGGCCAGGCUGUCUCCACCCGAGACUCAGUGAAAUUGAACUCGCUGUGAAGAUGCAGUGUACCCGCGGCAAGACGGAAAGACCCCGUGAACCUUUACUAUAGCUUGACACUGAACAUUGAGCCUUGAUGUGUAGGAUAGGUGGGAGGCUUUGAAGUGUGGACGCCAGUCUGCAUGGAGCCGACCUUGAAAUACCACCCUUUAAUGUUUGAUGUUCUAACGUGGACCCGUAAUCCGGGUUGCGGACAGUGUCUGGUGGGUAGUUUGACUGGGGCGGUCUCCUCCUAAAGAGUAACGGAGGAGCACGAAGGUUGGCUAAUCCUGGUCGGACAUCAGGAGGUUAGUGCAAUGGCAUAAGCCAGCUUGACUGCGAGCGUGACGGCGCGAGCAGGUGCGAAAGCAGGUCAUAGUGAUCCGGUGGUUCUGAAUGGAAGGGCCAUCGCUCAACGGAUAAAAGGUACUCCGGGGAUAACAGGCUGAUACCGCCCAAGAGUUCAUAUCGACGGCGGUGUUUGGCACCUCGAUGUCGGCUCAUCACAUCCUGGGGCUGAAGUAGGUCCCAAGGGUAUGGCUGUUCGCCAUUUAAAGUGGUACGCGAGCUGGGUUUAGAACGUCGUGAGACAGUUCGGUCCCUAUCUGCCGUGGGCGCUGGAGAACUGAGGGGGGCUGCUCCUAGUACGAGAGGACCGGAGUGGACGCAUCACUGGUGUUCGGGUUGUCAUGCCAAUGGCACUGCCCGGUAGCUAAAUGCGGAAGAGAUAAGUGCUGAAAGCAUCUAAGCACGAAACUUGCCCCGAGAUGAGUUCUCCCUGAGACUUAGAGUCUCCUGAAGGAACGUUGAAGACGACGACGUUGAUAGGCCGGGUGUGUAAGCGCAGCGAUGCGUUGAGCUAACCGGUACUAAUGAACCGUGAGGCUUAACCUUACAACGCCGAAG
rnacentral:rRNA from 1 species